AUUGAACGCUGGCGGCAUGCCUUACACAUGCAAGUCGAACGGCAGCACGGGUGCUUGCACCUGGUGGCGAGUGGCGAACGGGUGAGUAAUACAUCGGAACAUGUCCUGUAGUGGGGGAUAGCCCGGCGAAAGCCGGAUUAAUACCGCAUACGAUCUACGGAUGAAAGCGGGGGACCUUCGGGCCUCGCGCUAUAGGGUUGGCCGAUGGCUGAUUAGCUAGUUGGUGGGGUCACGGCCUACCAAGGCGACGAUCAGUAGCUGGUCUGAGAGGACGACCAGCCACACUGGGACUGAGACACGGCCCAGACUCCUACGGGAGGCAGCAGUGGGGAAUUUUGGACAAUGGGCGAAAGCCUGAUCCAGCAAUGCCGCGUGUGUGAAGAAGGCCUUCGGGUUGUAAAGCACUUUUGUCCGGAAAGAAAUCCUUGGCCCUAAUACGGUCGGGGGAUGACGGUACCGGAAGAAUAAGCACCGGCUAACUACGUG
rnacentral:rRNA from 1 species